ACGUAGGGUGCAAGCGUUGUCCGGAAUCACUGGGCGUAAAGCGCACGCAGGCGGUUCGGUAAGUCGGCUGUGAAAUCUCCGGGCUCAACCCCGGAACUGCCAUUGAUACUACUGAACUUGAGUAUGGUGGAGGGAAGCGGAAUCUCUCAUGUAGCGGUGAAAUGCGUAGAUAUGGGGAAGAACACCAAUGGCGAAGGCAGCUUCCUGGGGGGCAACUGACGCUGAUGUGCGAAAGCUGGGGGAGCAAACGG
rnacentral:rRNA from 1 species